rnacentral:misc_RNA from 1 species
GUAACAAGGUUUCCGUAGGUGAACCUGCGGAAGGAUCAUUACCGAGUGAGGGCCCUCUGGGUCCAACCUCCCACCCGUGUCUAUCGUACCUUGUUGCUUCGGCGGGCCCGCCGUUUCGACGGCCGCCGGGGAGGCCCUGCGCCCCCGGGCCCGCGCCCGCCGAAGACCCCAACAUGAACGCUGUUCUGAAAGUAUGCAGUCUGAGUUGAUUAUCGUAAUCAGUUAAAACUUUCAACAACGGAUCUCUUGGUUCCGGCAUCGAUGAAGAACGCAGCGAAAUGCGAUAAGUAAUGUGAAUUGCAGAAUUCAGUGAAUCAUCGAGUCUUUGAACGCACAUUGCGCCCCCUGGUAUUCCGGGGGGCAUGCCUGUCCGAGCGUCAUUGCUGCCCUCAAGCACGGCUUGUGUGUUGGGCCCCCGUCCCCCUCUCCCGGGGGACGGGCCCGAAAGGCAGCGGCGGCACCGCGUCCGGUCCUCGAGCGUAUGGGGCUUUGUCACCUGCUCUGUAGGCCCGGCCGGCGCCAGCCGACACCCAACUUUAUUUUUCUAAGGUUGACCUCGGAUCAGGUAGGGAUACCCGCUGAACUUAAGCAUAUC